rnacentral:rRNA from 1 species
CCUACGGGAGGCAGCAGUUAGGAAUUUUGGGCAAUGGGCGAAAGCCUGACCCAGCAACGCCGCGUGGGUGACGAAGGCCUUCGGGUUGUAAAGCCCUUUUCUGAGGGAAGAUGAUGACGGUACCUCAGGAAUAAGCACCGGCUAACUACGUGCCAGCAGCCGCGGUAAUACGUAGGGUGCAAGCGUUGCCCGGAUUUAUUGGGCGUAAAGGGCGCGCAGGCGGCUACGCACGUCCGUUGUGAAAUCGCUCGGCUCAACUGGGCGGGGUCAGCGGAUACGGCGUAGCUGGAGCAAGCUAGGGGGCAAUGGAAUUCCCGGUGUAGUGGUGGAAUGCGUAGAUAUCGGGAGGAACACCAGUGGCGAAGGCGGUUGCCUGGAGCUUUGCUGACGCUGAGGCGCGAAAGCGUGGGGAGCGGAUCCGGAUUAGAUACCCGGGUAGUCCACGCCGUAAACGAUGUCGACUAGGUGUCGGGGGUAUCGACCCCUCGGCGCCGCAGCUAACGCAUUAAGUCGACCGCCUGGGGACUACGGCCGCAAGGCUAAAACUCAAAGGAAUUGACGGCNGAGACNGCGACGACGACACGAGGGAGAGG